GAAUAACUGAACACAGCUGUGUGUGCAGGGCCUGCAAGUGUGGGAAGAUACCAUGAUUUAACACGGAAAAUAGAGUUUCUCCAUGAAAUGUUGACAACUAUUUGCAGAAAAGGCGCAUAACUAUGACUCUACUCUUUUCAAUUGUGACAGUGAGCCUGUAUGCACAAUACCCUAAAACUGAUGCAGCUAAAUGCAAUCAUCAUUCAUUUCCUUCUGUGACAUGUACACAUAUCUUCUGUGUCAAUGAGUGUUUUUUUAAAGGUUUCUUUCAUGCUGAAUGAUUUGUUUUCUAAGAUUUGUAUGAGCACA